rnacentral:misc_RNA from 1 species
UUAAGUUCAGCGGGUAUCCCUACCUGAUCCGAGGUCAACCUGUAAAAAUUGGGGGUUGUUGGCAAGUCACUUGCAGGACCCUAUAGCGAGAAAAUUACUACGCGUAGAGCCUACAGGCACCGCCACUGGUUUUAGGAGCCGCUGAUCGCGAACCCCAAUACCAAGCGUGAGCUUGAGUGGUUAUAAUGACGCUCGAACAG